CAUGUGCAGCCCUCUGGACAGUUGCUGCGAAAUUAUUAUUUCCAAUCCACUUGAUCAUCUAGAAAUGAGACGUACAGGUAGUCCUCGCUUAACGACCACAACUGGGACCAGAAUUUUGGUUGCUAAGUGAAGCAGUCAUUAAGCAAAUCUGGCCCAAUUUUACGACCUUUUUUGCGGUGGUUGUUAAGCAAAUCAUUGUGGGCAUUAACAAACCACAUGGUCGUUAAAAAAAUCAUGUGGUUCACCACUGAUUUUGCUUGCCAGAAACCGGCCAGAAAGGUUGAAAAUGGCGAUCACAUGACCACGGGAUGCUGCGAUGGUCAUAAAAGCAAACUAGUUGCCAAGUGCCUGAACUGUAAUCAUAUGACUGCAGGGAUGCUGCAACGGUUGUAAGUGUGAGAACAUUUUUUCAGCACCAUUGUAA